rnacentral:rRNA from 1 species
AGUGAACGCUGGCGGUAGGCCUAACACAUGCCAGUCGAACGGCAGCACAGUAUGAGCUUGCUCUUACGGGUGGCGAGUGGCGGACGGGUGAGGAAUACAUCGGAAUCUACUUUUUCGUGGGGGAUAACGUAGGGAAACUUACGCUAAUACCGCAUACGACCUACGGGUGAAAGCAGGGGAUCUUCAGACCUUGCGCGAUUGAAUGAGCCGAUGUCGGAUUAGCUAGUUGGCGGGGUAAAGGCCCACCAAGGCGACGAUCCGUAGCUGGUCUGAGAGGAUGAUCAGCCACACUGGAACUGAGACACGGUCCAGACUCCUACGGGAGGCAGCAGUGGGGAAUAUUGGACAAUGGGCGCAAGCCUGAUCCAGCCAUACCGCGUGGGUGAAGAAGGCCUUCGGGUUGUAAAGCCCUUUUGUUGGGAAAGAAAAGCAGCAGGUUAAUACCCCGCUGUUCUGACGGUACCCAAAGAAUAAGCACCGGCUAACUUCGUG